UCCACCUGCUGUCAGCUUGAUUACAGGAAGCAAGUGGAGAAUGGAAGCACACGCAUGGAAGUGCAGGGAAUAUAAGCUUCCAGAGAUUCCCACUGCUUCUGAGAAUCCAGAGCACUUGUGUUCUCCUGAUUGUGUAUUUGCAGUGUGUUAACCCAGUUCCCCUGAAAGCUGAAGCCACAGAGUAUCAGCAAAUAUAUCUGCAUCUGCACCAAUUCUCUGAUUCAGCUAUGACAUAACAUGACUCUUUUCCCAAAAGCACUGAGUCCCAUAGCAUUCUUACGGCCACAGGGGUGUAUGUACAUACAAAUUAUGUAUCUCCAGAGAGCUUUCAUGUACCUCGAAAGAAGAAAUCUUUCUUUUCAGCAAACAGGAAAACAACUGCAGCUCAAUGUCAAAUGUCAAACUGUAUAUCCUGUGGCCAUAAGAUAAAUUCACUAACACUGGGAGUUUUACUGCGCAGAUGCCUAGAAAGAACAAAUCUGAUUAUUUGUUGAGAUUUAUUACAAACAUUAAUACCACAAAACACUGAUUGAAAAGAUUCUUAAAACAGUAUGACUCCAAAUUGAAUACAGAGUAGACACAAAC